AACGAACGCUGGCGGCGUGCCUAACACAUGCAAGUCGUGCGAGAAAGUUCCUUCGGGAGCGAGUAAAGCGGCGCACGGGUGAGUAACACGUAGGUAACCUGCCCCCCAGUCUGGAACAACUAGAGGAAACUCUAGCUAAUGCCGGAUGAGACCACGAUCCCUUCGGGGGUUGCGGCCAAAGAUGGCCUCUACUUGUAAGCUAUCGCUGAGGGAUGGGCCUGCGGGCCAUUAGCUUGUUGGUGAGGUAACGGCUCACCAAGGCUGUGAUGGCUAGCUGGUCUGAGAGGAUGACCAGCCACACUGGGACUGAGACACGGCCCAGACUCCUAACGGGAGGCAGCAGGUGGGGAAUAUUGCGCAAUGGGCGAAAGCCUGACGCAGCGACGCCGCGUGGGUGAUGAA
rnacentral:rRNA from 1 species